GCAGAGCAUCCUACGGGAGGCAGCAGUGGGGAAUAUUGCACAAUGGGCGCAAGCCUGAUGCAGCCAUGCCGCGUGUAUGAAGAAGGCCUUCGGGUUGUAAAGUACUUUCAGCAGUGAGGAAGGUGGGUAUGUUAAUAGCAUAUUCAUUUGACGUUAGCUGCAGAAGAAGCACCGGCUAACUCCGUGCCAGCAGCCGCGGUAAUACGGAGGGUGCGAGCGUUAAUCGGAAUUACUGGGCGUAAAGCGCAUGCAGGUGGUUUGUUAAGUCAGAUGUGAAAGCCCGGGGCUCAACCUCGGAAUUGCAUUUGAAACUGGCAAACUAGAGUACUGUAGAGGGGGUAGAAUUUCAGGUGUAGCGGUGAAAUGCGUAGAGAUCUGAAGGAAUACCAGUGGCGAAGGCGGCCCCCUGGACAGAUACUGACACUCAGAUGCGAAAGCGUGGGGAGCAAACAGGAUUAGAUACCCUGGUAG
rnacentral:rRNA from 1 species